rnacentral:rRNA from 1 species
AACGAACGCUGGCGGCAGGCUUAACACAUGCAAGUCGAGCGCCCCGCAAGGGGAGCGGCAGACGGGUGAGUAACGCGUGGGAAACUACCCUUUGGUACGGAAUAACACAGAGAAAUUUGUGCUAAUACCGUAUGUGCCCUUCGGGGGAAAGAUUUAUCGCCAUAGGAUGUGCCCGCGUAGGAUUAGCUAGUUGGUGUGGUAAUGGCGCACCAAGGCGACGAUCCUUAGCUGGUCUGAGAGGAUGAUCAGCCACACUGGGACUGAGACACGGCCCAGACUCCUACGGGAGGCAGCAGUGGGGAAUUUUGGACAAUGGGCGCAAGCCUGAUCCAGCCAUGCCGCGUGCAGGAUGAAGGCCUCGGGUUGUAAACUGCUUUGUACGGAACGAAAAGACUCUGGUUAAUACCUGGGGUCCAUGACGGUACCGUAAGAAUAAGCACCGGCUAACUACGUG